CCUCUGGAAGCAAUUCUGUAGAAGCUCUGGAGGACACAUGGUUGUGCCUAGGACAGGCGUGGGGAACCUCUCCCUCCAGAGGUUGCUGAACUGCAGCUCCCAUCGUCCAUGGCUGCUGUCCGUGCUGCCUGGGGUUGAUAGGAGUCGUAGGUCAGCAACACCUGGAAGGCCAAAAGUUUGAUUUUGUUGGUUUCCGAUAUUUCUAUACCACCUGACGACAAAAGUCCUAUGGGCAGACAAGUUAAAACCUUAAAACGUAAUAGGAAAUGAAAAUCUAACAGAAUAAAAUUAGCAAUAGAGAAUGGCAUCCAGUACAACAAAAAUAAAAAGCAGUAAAAAAUAUAUUUACGACUGAAAAUGCUUUCACCUAGGCAGACCUCUCUGGGGGUGCCAACACUUGUAGCCAAUCCCAUUUGUUUCCUCUUGUCCUGCAUUCGUACGUGACGCAUCUCGCAGCAGAGAAGUUCACAAAAGUUCCUCAGACCUGAUCUAGGAGCAAGAAAGUCUGUGAAGAGCAGCAGUUGAGCCAAGGGAUUUGUGAGGUAGGAGGCCCAGCUGUUGGAAAAAGUGUUUCAUCCUCACCCUACAAUGCUAGGGUUGGGCUCUGAGGUGCUACAGAUGUUGCCACUUUUCAUUUCUCUUUCCAUGACUGGUGAACAUCGGCAGGCGAAGCGCUUCCAGGUAUUAGAGAUGAAGUGAUUGUGUUAAAAAAUAAGAAGCAUUCUAGAUAUUACCUGUCGAAUGUCAUUUGGCUGAUAAGGCCAUUGGGGUGGAAUCAGGCUAAGUUAUCUGAACAUGUCCCAUUGAAAAUCCAACCCAUUUACUACAAAAUAUAAACCAGCAGCAAGCUGCAGUAUGGCCAUCUUGUUUGCUUCUUUCUCGUCUUUCCAUUUUUUAUUUUUUUUGUUCUUAUCAUUGCUACUCUUUUUAUUUUUCUUGGUUCCACCUGCUUUGUUAUCUCUGGAGCUGCUGACACAAAUAUACCAACUAUCAGGUGUGGCUAUGCACACCCACUGAGGCUGCACAUUGCCCUCUUCCAGAGAAGUUUGUUGUUAAAAGUGGAGCAGAGAUGCCACCCAAGGUGGGUGCAAAUGAAUGGAGGUAUCUCGUCUGACCUGAACUGGCAGCCUCUCUAGCUUUUCACCUCCUUUGCCUUCUUCAUCUGAUUGCCGGAGCUCCUCACCCCGUCUCCUUUUUUCCAUUCCUUCCUUGAAACCUGCUCAGGGUUGCUUUGGCGUUGGAGGCUGUACACAUUUCACUUUGGAUUUAAUUUACCUCCCUUUGACAAACCAAUUGCUAAUUCAGAUUGAAACCAGCGCUUCACAGACGAAUCUGUAUUUCCAAAAUGGGAGGGAUGGAGCAAACAUACUGUUCUUGCAUCUGUAUGUGAAACAGUAAUGUACCAUUUGGCCAUGAAGUUCGUGUCCCAGGUAUUCGAACUCUGGUCUCCCGGGUCCUAGACCCAUCAGAUGUGGGAUGGAAGUAGGGGGAGUUUGUCUAUGUUCGCCUCUCUUUAUUGGGAAGCAAUUCUUGCUGUUCGAGAGGCUGGGAUUUGGAAGUCAUUUCAGUUCAUCUCAUUACCAUUACAUAUCAACAGCUAUCUGUCUGUCUGCUUUAUAUACAACAUACAUUUAAAGCACGUGACAUUUUAAAAUUUCAUUUAUAGCCCACCUUUCUCUCUUGAGGAUCUCAAGGUGGCAAAUGUACAUGGUUCUCCCCCUCCUUGCUUAAUUCCCACAACAGCCCUGUGAGGUAGGUUAGGCUGAGAGCCCCAAGAUCACCCACAAGCUACGUGGCCAAAUGGGGAUUCAAACCCUGGUCUCCCAGGUCUUAGUCCAGCACUUUAACCACUGCACCACUUUGGCUCUGCCUCAGUCCUUGUCUUGCCAAAUGCAAGGUGGUUCUUUAGAGAGAAAAAAGAUUCAGAGGCAAUACAAAACACAAGUGAGUGAGAAGAUUUAAGAAUUUAUUCUAAACAGCAAGCAAUAUAUACACACCAAGCAACAUUUUAUACUGUAUUUUAUGCUGUUAUUUGUUGCAUCAAUUAAGUGUUUUAAAUUUGUUGUUAGCCACCCUGAGACCAGUUUUCUGAAUCAGGAAGGCGGGGUAUAAAUAAUAAUAACUAUUAUUAUUAUUAUUUUAUUAUUAAUAAUAGAUUGCCUGAGAUUGCACAGCCCCAUGGCCAUCAGUCCAUGCAUUAGCUUCUCCGAACUCAGCCCAAAAUAAUCUGAUUUAUAGAUAGCUAACCUGUUAGCCUGUGGCUUGCCUGACUGACCACAUGCUACUAGCUACCUGCAGAUUAUUCAUUAGCCGCUUCUGCCAAUGCCUCACUUUCUUCAACACUUGAUGUCCAACAUCAAAAGAAGGUACCCAGCAAUAUCACCUCCUCCCAACAGAUUAGGACUAGGAAAUUAAAGGCUGUUCUCAGCCAUCAUAGUGCUUAACAAAAGUUAGGGGAAAGGAAGGAACAGGGGGCAGGAAGAGUGAAACCGAGUUAGACCACUCGAAAUACAAAUAUAUUCUUUGGGACUCUCACCAGGCCUUGCAUCAGCCCACCAGCCCUGCUUUUCAUCCUCCUAGUGUGUUUUUGUCUAGGGUGGAAUGGGCUUUUAAAGCCGAAUAAUGCCUCUUGCUUGUUUGGAUACAGGAUAGAGUAGCACAUGAGCAUGUGGAAAGUAGCUUGCUGAACAAAGGUAGAAAUUACAUUCCUUGCUCUGCCCAUUUGGGUUUCUGGCUCCACCCACCCCUGGCACCUAACCUUCCAUCCCCGAAGGUGUCCUAGAAGGAAUAACAGACCUUGGAACAAAAAAGGAUUCCCAACCCCUGAUCUAGGAUCUACAGCAGCAGGGAAUGAAGCCAACAGCCUUCCCUUGUCUCUUCUCCUUCAUGCCUGGUAUUUGGGGCUAAACUGCCUCUGCAUCUGGAGGCUCCAUUUGCACGUUACGUCUAAUACUGCCCGCCCCCCCAGUAUAGCUGCCCACGCUCCAUAAAUUCGCCUGAUCCCAUUUGAAAGCUGCAGCCAUCACUGCAUCUUGCAGCAGCAAUUUGCAUCAAUUAAUGACAUUACGUUUCAACGUUUAGGGGACUGUCUCUGCCAAACGAGAAAACCUAGAGAGGUUUGUCUGGCGUCUGUCUUCCUAGCAGUGCCAGGCGAAGGACUCCCCACCCACCCCCUCCACUGCCACCAAGUUUUCUGGGUGCAGUUUUAACCCCCUUGGCUGGUCUGUGCUGCUUUUAUGAUUAUCUGGCUUUUAGCUUAUUUUACUGCUUUGCUUUGAUGCUUUUAAGUAUUCUGCUCCUUUUGCUAACUGCCAUGGGAACAGCAUACAAGAGUAGCAUAAAAACAGUGUUUUAUUUUUUUAAAAAAACUGAGAAAUGGGCUAGCAGUAGAGAGAAAAUCCUGCUUGUUUUUUCUUCAGGGAAGGGAGAAGUCUUGCCGAGGUUAUACCUGGAACGGCAACACACCUGUUAUCCAAAAGAGUUGAGAGCAGCAUUCCAGCCUUUUGAUGUAAUCCAGAAGACGCUUUGGAACAGUCCACACCCUUUCCCAAGCUCAAUAGUCUGACUGUGAGCUACCCUGUUCUUCUGAAUGCUUAGAUCCCACUGCAGCACCACUGAUCUCAUGGGGUAACUGCCCCACCUAGCCCCAGAGGCAUCUGAACAAGCAGUCGGACUCCUUGCGGAAAAUUGGGCUGCAGCUCAUUUUAAAAUCCUUUGAGAAUAUGCGCGUGGCAAGGUUCUGACUGAUGGAAACAGCACACAAGCUUUGCGAGCAAGGAGGUUGCAAUAUGGCAUUAUCUAAAAGCGUGUGGCCUAGUGGUUAGAGCAUUGGACUAGGGAGACCAGGGUUUGAAUCUCCACUCAUCCACAAGGUCCCUGGGUGGCCAGUCACGUGUCUCUCCACUUAACCUGCCUCACAGGGUUGCUGUGAGAAUAACAUGGAGAAGGAGGGGGAACCCUGUGUCACCCUGAGCUCCUUGGUGGAGAGAUGGGAUAUUCGUAUGAUAAUAAGCUGCUUCUAAGCUAUUUGUUUUAUAAAUAAAUCAUUUUAAUGCAUUUUUCUUAAAAUGGAACAUUCCCU